UACGGAGGGUGCAAGCGUUAUCCGGAUUCACUGGGUUUAAAGGGUGCGUAGGAGGGCAGGUAAGUCAGUGGUGAAAUCUCCAAGCUUAACUUGGAACUGCCGUUGAUUACUAUCUGUCUUGAAUAUUGUGGAGGUGAGCGGAAUAUGUCAUGUAGCGGUGAAAUGCUUAGAUAUGAACUAGAAACACCAAUUGCGAAAGGCAGCUCGCUACACAAUAUAUUUGACUCUGAGGCACGAAAAGCGUGGGGAUCAAACAGG
rnacentral:rRNA from 1 species